rnacentral:rRNA from 1 species
AUUGAACGCUGGCGGCAUGCUUUACACAUGCAAGUCGAACGGUAACAGGCCGCAAGGUGCUGACGAGUGGCGAACGGGUGAGUAAUGCAUCGGAACGUGCCCAGUCGGGGGGGAUAACGCAGCGAAAGCUGUGCUAAUACCGCAUACGAUCUAUGGAUGAAAGCGGGGGACCGUAAGGCCUCGCGCGAUUGGAGCGGCCGAUGUCAGAUUAGGUAGUUGGUGGGGUAAAGGCUCAUCAAGCCAACGAUCUGUAGCUGGGCUGAGAGGACGACCAGGGACACGUGGACGGGGAAACGGCCAAGAUUCAUACGGGAGGCAGCAGUGGGGAAUUUUGGAGAAUGGGGGCAAGCCUGAUCCAGCAAUGCCGCGUGCAUGAAGAAGGCAUUCGGGUUGUAAACUGCUUUUGUACGGGACGAAACGGCGAGCUCUAAUACAGGUUGCUAAUGACGGUACCGUAAGAAUAAGCACCGGCUAACUACGUGCCAGCCGCCGCCGUAAUAC